rnacentral:rRNA from 1 species
UACGUAGGGUGCAAGCGUUGUCCGGAAUUAUUGGGCGUAAAGAGCUCGUAGGCGGCUUGUUGCGUCGGCUGUGAAAUCCCGGGGCUUAACUCCGGGCGUGCAGCCGAUACGGGCAGGCUAGAGUCCGGUAGGGGAGACUGGAAUUCCUGGUGUAGCGGUGAAAUGCGCAGAUAUCAGGAAGAACACCCGUGGCGAAGGCGGUUCUCUGGGACGGUACUGACGCUGAGACGCGAAAGCGUGGGGAGCGAACAGG